rnacentral:rRNA from 1 species
GACGAACGCUGGCGGCGUGCUUAACACAUGCAAGUCGAACGGAAAGACCCUGCUUUUGUGGGGUGCUCGAGUGGCGAACGGGUGAGUAACACGUGAGUAACCUGCCCUUGACUUUGGGAUAACUUCAGGAAACUGGGGCUAAUACCGGAUAGGAGCUCCUGCUGCAUGGUGGGGGUUGGAAAGUUUCGGCGGUUGGGGAUGGACUCGCGGCUUAUCAGCUUGUUGGUGGGGUAGUGGCUUACCAAGGCUUUGACGGGUAGCCGGCCUGAGAGGGUGACCGGCCACAUUGGGACUGAGAUACGGCCCAGACUCCUACGGGAGGCAGCAGUGGGGAAUAUUGCACAAUGGGCGGAAGCCUGAUGCAGCAACGCCGCAUGCGGGAUGACGGCCUUCGGGUUGUAAACCGCUUUCGCCUGUGACGAAGCGUGAGUGACGGUAAUGGGUAAAGAAGCACCGGCUAACUACGUG